AUUUACCAACAAGUUAACAAAAUGUAGUCAAAGUACAUUAGAAUACAACAACAACCAUGUUACUUAACUCACACUAUGAUGACAAAUGUCCGAAUAUAACGUAAACACAUGUUUGUAUUGACCACAAGUAAAAAAAGUAGAUGGACUAUUCAUUUAAGAAGCAACGAAUACUUGUCAUUUUUCAUCGCGUAAUAGCAUGACAUCAUUUAGGAAUCUGACAAAAUAAUUAAUGACUUGAAUACAUGUACUUUGACAACAAAGUAUGUUUUUCAAUGUUGCUAGAUUAGCCAGUUUGAUCGAAUAAAAUGUUCUUUUCGAAGAUCUGUAUAGAUUCAUGUUUUAAAAAGAAGUGUUAUUCGGACUCGUCAGUGUUUUUUUUCAUUUCUCAGUUUAGAUUUGCUCUCAUCUUAGACAUGUUAUUAUAGCAACCAGUCUCUUUUUCUACAAAAUACCACAAUUCCGCCGGCUUAAAUGCGACCGUUCGGGAAUUAAUACACACAUUUUAAAUCAAUGUAAUAGGUUUGACGGUAUUAUAGCAUGUUACACACAAAUUUAAAUCUAAAUUAUAAAAUAACAACAAUAUUAACAACUAUGAUCCCAAACUUCUUAUACAUCCGAAAUAAUGUUUCCUAAACAAUGUGCUCAUGUUCAUGUACGACAUUUUAAUGUUGUCUAUGCUGUUUUGUAUUCCCAAAUUUAAAGCUGAAACGAUAAGAAUAAAAACUUUUAAAAAUCUUUUGAUAUAAAUCCUGUUUCUUUCGAAUAAACCCGUAUACAAGUAGUUGAGCAACAAAAUAUCCGUAAACAAGCAUAACACCGGUAAAAGGGUUGAAAUAUCUUCAAACAGGCGAAACAGCCCUCAAGCUAAUUUAAUUAAUGACAGUUUUCAAGAAAAGUCUUUUAACAAUUCCCUUUAAAAUAAAACGUAUCAAAUUGUAUGUAAGAUAAAAUGUGAGACAUUACAAUAUAUAAGCUUUUAUCAGACUUAAUACAUGUAUUUCAACAACGUGCCAAUAUUACAAUCUCGUGAUAUAACCAAGUGACAUACAUAACACUUGCGUGAUAGAUAAGUGCUCAAAUAUACGCGAGUGUAAGUAUUGAGUGGAAAAAUGCGUUAAUUAAAAGUCUGAACAUCUGGAUGCUUGUACAUGCGUUCUGAUACGCUGUUUUGAGCUAUUUGCGAUCUGUUCAAGAUUUGACAAUUAAACUUUUCAAAUGAGCCAACGAUUGAGGCUUUAACUUAUUAUAUUUGAUCCACUUCGGUCAUCCCUGAAUAAGAGCGUUUUUAUACGAUAAGGUACGUGACCCUAAGUGUAUCAUGUAUCAAUGACGUUUUCAUCGUAAGGAUGUUUUUGAUAAACGUAAAACUGAUUUCCACUCGUUAAGCGGGCUCUUGAAAAUGCAAUUUCAUAUCAUCAGCUAGUCAAAUGCUUUCCACUGUAUAACCACAUCCAGACAAUGUUCCUUAUUAAUGCUUUAUUGAACUGUAGUCCACCAAAUAUGCGCUUAAACGGAAGUAAUAAGUACUUAAGCCUGUAAGUUUAAGGGGCAGAAAAGCCUGUAUAAACAAAUAUAAAAUUCAAAACCGAAUAUCUAUCCAGCAAUUGAUGCGGACUUUUCGGUAAUAGACAUUUGAAACAAGAAUAGAAUGUGUAUCUUCUGAAAGAAUGUUUCCACGCAUAAUGUUGGUACUAUUCGCAACCAAACAUGCGUUUGCUAAACAUCACUCUUAAAUUCAUGCAUGUGCUUUCUUUAAUCAAUACAGUUAUCUAAAUGACAGGUGCAUUUGGAUUGCAAAUAUAUCAAUGUCCUGUACUUUUCCCGGCAUGCAUCAGUCAGAAAUGGUCAUAUGAUACACAUAAACACACCGAUAACUGAUUUAAAGGGCGUCAAAGAAUUCUUAUAUUAAUACGGAUACACUUGUAGAUACGCGCACUGGCUACGCGGCAUGGAGAUGCUUCAACGGUUUUCAAAACGUCAUUUAACAUAAAAAAAUGUUAACAGACAAGGACACUUGUAACUGGUUUAAAGGUUCCUUCGCUGAGUCUCACCAAACAAGGGCUUGAAAUGUUCGUUGAUUCAGGAAUACAAAAGGUAGGCGCUAUUGUUUGGAAAGGUUGUGGACAAUGCCAUAUUGAAAACUUACUCCAUUGUCCGACUCCGGGAAUUUGUCGAAAAGCACAGACAUGUUGCUUUCACAGAACACCAGACUUACAUCGUCGCCCUUGUCCAGCUGGCUUGUGCGACCAAGUUAAAGUUAAUAUCGCAUCGUAUCAUAGAUACUCGAAACCAUCCUGGAAGAACACAAAAGCAGAGUUAUGGGCUACUGAUCACUGGGAGGUCGCAAAAUGCUUUCUGCCACCAGAUGGGUAUUUUCACGUUUAAUCAGUGCAUGAAACCGACUUCAAUGGAGUUAUUAGUAUUCUGUUAAACUGCACUCAUUUCGACUUGUUUUUCUCCUUCACCAUUGCGCCGCCUCUCCCAGCUCCAGAAUGCACUUUAACUAAGGCUCGUCAAUUAGGCAGAAAAAUACGUCACACCCCUAGCUGCAAAGUAACAGAGUCGGAUCUCAAUGAUUGUAUACAGACGCUCUUGUCAAUUCUGUACGACCCAACGUACCUUUCAACGGUGGGCGACGCGACAUCUGCCAGCAUUAAACUCAAAGAUUUGCUGAAAAGCCCUUCAUUUAUAACCCCGGAACAUUUUCAUGAGCAUUUAAAAGAGGCACAACAAAUGCUGGUAGAACUUAAGAGAACAGGGGAAACACUUCUAAAAGAAAAUGAACAACUUUCAGAAACAGUAGAAGAAAUUAACAUCCAUCAGAAAACAUGUCUCCAAAGAAUAGACCAAUAGGCAAGGGAAGUUGAAGAGCAUGUUUCACAAAUGGACGAAAAAUCAAUUCAAGUGAUAGAGAUCAAAAGAAAAGCCAGUCUUAAAAGUUUAGAAGAAAAGAGUAAAAAAUUCAGGGAUAAUCAUUUAAAUGAAACAAAGCAAGCUCGAGAAGAAAUCACUAUUUACACCAGGCAAUGUAUCAACGUUCUAGAAGCAAGUUUCGAAGAAAAGAAAAAAGAAUUAGAAACAAAGACGUUUGAAUCGAACCAAAGCAUUGUAUGGAAACGGAUGGAUGAAAAUAAUGAUGGAAUAAUACUAUUUAAAAAGCAUAACCAGGAGAAGUAUUCUUGUUACAAUCCGCUUCUUAUGUACAUACAGAAACUGGCGAAUUCGCUACGAGGAUUAUUCAAAACAAAAUAGUACGAAGCGUCUUUAAUUUUUAUGCGCAGCACCUGUUUUACAUAUCGAAAUCAGUGAAGAAUAUGUUCGGUUUUGAAACUAAACUAUGUAUUCUUGUUGAGCACUCAGAUUAACAAGCCGGCUCUUUAUGCAAAGAUUUCAUUUUCCGUCAUGUCAUCCGGACUGCCGUAGAGCUUCCCUUGCGUCGUGAUCGUACCCGCCAGGAUCUGGCGUCUGAGGUCAUCACGUGGUGAGUAGAACUGCAGCAAGUGUUCUUCUGCCAUGCUGCUGUAAUGACAGGGGCGGAAAUUAACAAAACAAAACACUUUAAAUAACAUUUAUACUUGAUUAAUUCUAUUCAUAUAUUUACUUAGGAUAGUCGUGUUAAUUGCUUUUGAUUUUCUCUGCUUACAUGCAGGUGUGUUGUUUAAAGUAACAUGAACAUAGUGUGCGCUCAUGCGAUGAUACUAUUGUAUCAAUUAAUAUGAUUGUGAAGCUGAUAAGAUACUGUGAUGAUUAUAUGUUUACAAUAAAGAUUUUGUCGAAUACAAUUACUGUAUUACAUACGUUAUUGUGCACGUAACGAUAUAGACAUAUUCUAUUCACGCGUUUCAAUAGUGUGAACAGUGUUUAUAAAAGAGAUUUGGGGUAUGGCGAUAUUUAUGUAAUGCAUUAAUCUUAUUAACUGUGAACUAUCACGUGAGUAUCAAAACAGAUAAACCAACAAGGCAUGUUGAGCCAAUUUAAACCCAUUUUUUUGUUUGGCGAUACUAGUGGCAACAAACAUGUUUUAUCGAUUAUGUGUUUUUAUAUUGAAAAUAUGUAGUAUAGGUUUAUUGUGACGAUGUUUGGUGUUAGAGAAUGUGCAAGUGCUAAUUACUUUUAUGAUACACUAUUAUUGCUCAUUUGUUCGAAACUUUGUUAUUCAUUUAGAGCAUAUAUUACAUAUUUACAUGUUUUCCAUUUGCAAACAACUCUUCUUACAAAGAUACAAAUCAUGCUUUGGAAUGUUAGUAAAUAUUGAUGUGUAACGUUUAAAAACCGUUGAAAAUUGAUCGACAUACUUUAUUUUGCUUUUUUUCAAACCAGUCCCUCAGAAAAGGUAUUUUGUUUGUUGUUAUAUUUAUAUUAUUCCAUACGAUUGUUUUACUAUAAUUGUUUUCUUCUAACAUAUUUGUGACUUUGCGCCUUUCUGAUAGCAUAUAAGAUAUACACAUGUUUAGCUCUGCAGGUUGUAUUAAUUGAUUUCGUUUUUUUCAGAUAUGCUAUCCCAUAAGAAGUAAAAUUUAGUCAUUUAUAUAUUUAUAUGUCAUCAAUUAUUUUAAUUUCUCGGUUUGGCAGGACGGUUAUUACGUGUAUAGAGUUAGAUAUUGCAAAUGCUUUAAAUGCAAUAAUUCAUCUAUUAAAGUUACUUUUCGGUAUUGCCAUUAUUUAGUUUAUUGAAUUCCUGUAGUUUCGGUAAUAUGUUUUUUACGAUUGUUACAUCUUCAUUGUUUGUGAUUGUAAUGAAAAACGUUGGGAUUUCAUUUGAUGUUUGUUGGUAGUUAAUUUCCUUGUUCAGUUGAAUGUUUUGUUUCAGUCAUUGUACAUUGUCAAACAGGAUAAGUGAUUCUAUCGCAUUGUUAAAUCAGCUAUUAUUAUCAGAAUUACCAAAAUAUGUUGCGUCAUCCACGAAUAAUGACUGUUUGAUUUAUCCAUCUGGUUUAAAAUAAAUAUGAUUUAUAUU